UGGGGAAUAUUGGACAAUGGGCGCAAGCCUGAUCCAGCCAUGCCGCGUGAGUGAUGAAGGCCCUAGGGUUGUAAAGCUCUUUCACCGGUGAAGAUAAUGACGGUAACCGGAUAAGAAUCCCCGGCUAACUUCGUGCCAGCAGCCGCGGUAAUACGGAGGGGGCUAGCGUUGUUCGGAUUUACUGGGCGUAAAGCGCACGUAGGCGGACUUUUAAGUCAGGGGUGAAAUCCCGGGGCUCAACCCCGGAACGGCCAUUGAUACUGGAAGUCUUGAGUAUGGUAGAGGUGAGAGGAAUUCCGAAUGUAGAGGUGAAAUUCGUAGAUAUUCGGAAGAACACCAGUGGCGAAGGCGGCUCACUGGGCAGUUACUGACGCUGAGGUGCGAAAGCGUGGGGAGCAAACAGG
rnacentral:rRNA from 1 species